UACGUAGGGGGCAAGCGUUGUCCGGAUUCAUUGGGCGUAAAGAGCGUGUAGGCGGCCAGGUAGGUCGGUUGUGAAAACUGGAGGCUCAACCUUCAGAGGUCGACCGAAACCAUCUGGCUAGAGUCCGGGAGAGGAGAGUGGAAUUCCUGGUGUAGCGGUGAAAUGCGCAGAUAUCAGGAAGAACACCCGUGGCGAAAGCGGCUCUCUGGAACGGUACUGACGCUGAGACGCGAAAGCCAGGGGAGCAAACGGG
rnacentral:rRNA from 1 species